AGUGGCUGUCCAGGCCUUUCAGAGCCACUGACACACCAGCAGCACAAUGAUGAUGUCGCUGACUCUACUGCUGACCAUCCUGGGGCUCCUGGUUCAGGGUUCCUCAGCAGUCAUCACCCUGACUCAGACUCCAGGAUCACAGUCUGUUACUCCAGGACAGACUGUCUCCAUUAACUGCAAAGCCAGUUCAGCUGUUGAUGAUGAUUUGCACUGGUACCUUCAAAAACCUGGAGAAGCUCCAAAGCUCCUGAUCUAUGAAGCUACCAGACGUUGGACUGGAGUGUCUGAUCGUUUCACUGGAAGUGGAUAUGAUAUUGAUUUCACUCUGACCAUCAGCAGAGUUCAGGCUGAAGAUGCAGGAGUUUAUUACUGUCAACAUAGUGAGAACUUCCCGUUCACACAGUGAUACAACGUCGUACAAAAACCUCACGGCUGCAGAGGAACUGAUCCACAGCUGCACUGAAACACAAGUUGUACAUAUAGGGAAUAAAAGAAGAGUUUAAUACAAUUUUUGUACUAAAAUAUGACUGUUGUUAGUUUUAGUUAGUGAUGGGAAAUUCGGCUCUUUCAGAGAACUAGCUCCAAACGAAGGUUUUUCAGCUUUUAAUUUAUUGUCAUGUGCAGCCACAUAUUUUAACUCAACUUUUUGUUUGAUGACUUCUUUUGUGUUCAGUGUUCCCUUUAUGUGUAGCCUUACACUUGCUUAAUUUUAUGUGCUUGUUCUAUGACGAAAGCAGAUUUUCUUACUUUGUAUAAUAAUUUUAUCAACCUUUUCCUUUUUGAGCAAAACAGUGCAAAGAAAUCCAAACCCAUCAAAAAUAAGUUAUUAUUAUAUCAUAUAAUAUAUAAUAUUUUUUUAAAUCCAGCCAGAUGCUACUUUGCUUACAGGUGUCAGUGUCAGUAUUUUUAAUUCCAUGAGUAAGAAUUGAAAAAACACAUUAGACAAGCCUGCUACUUUAACACACCUUUAAAGGUUUAAACACAUAAUAUUUGAAGCAAUAUGAAUGUUUGAAAAGGUAUUCACUGGAAAUAUGACAAAAGAUCAUAAAGAAAGAACCCCCACCAUAAGAUAAUUGCAACAUGGUGAUACUUUUAGGAUUUAUUUGAAGAUUUCAGUAGUUAAAUAUCAUAGAGUUGAGAAGAUUAACAUUUAUGUUUUACAAUAAAUGUCAAAAGACCACAAUUGUGACAAACAUUUU